rnacentral:rRNA from 1 species
UACGUAGGUGGCAAGCGUUGUCCGGAUUUAUUGGGUUUAAAGGGUGCGUAGGCGGUGUCCUAAGUCAGUUGUGAAAUACGGCAGCUUAACUGUCGAGGUGCAAUUGAUACUGGGACACUUGAGUACUGAUGAGGUAUGCGGAAUGGACGGUGUAGCGGUGAAAUGCUUAGAUAUCGUCCAGAACACCGAUAGCGAAGGCAGCAUACUAAGGAGUAACUGACGCUGAGGCACGAAAGCUAGGGGAGCGAAUGGG